UGGCGGCGUGGCUAAGGCAUGCAAGCGAACGGGGCUUCUGAGUAGCAAUACAAGGGAAGUUCGAGUGGCGGACGGGUGAGUAAUGCAUAGGUAACGUGCCUCGAGCUCAGGGAUAGGCGGCCGCCCCGACGAAGGGGGCUUUAGGCGAAAGUGCCGGUAAUACCUGAUGACGUUUUGGAGUCACAUGACUCCUCUACCAAAGGUGGGGACCUUCGGGCCUGCCGACUCGAGAUCGGCCUAUGUCCUAUCAGCUAGUUGGUGAGGUAACGGCCCACCAAGGCUAUGACGGGUAACCGGCGUGAGAGCGCGACCGGUCACAUCGGGACUGAGACACUGCCCGGACACCUACGGGUGGCUGCAGCAACGAAUAUUCCGCAAUGGGCGAAAGCCUGACGGAGCGACGCCGCGUGAAGGAUGAAGUCCCUUCGGGAUGUAAACUUCAAUAGUACGCCAGGAAUCGAUCCUGGCUAAUACCCGGGAAAGUUGACCAGCGUACGAAAGAGGCGGCUAACUCCGUG
rnacentral:rRNA from 1 species